rnacentral:RNase_MRP_RNA from 2 species
CCUCCGCGCAAAGAAUCGCCAUCGCAGCACACAUACAGAAGACCUAACCCUCUUCUCUCUCAAAGCUGUGGGGAAAGUCCCCGGAGACGCAGGUCGUAUUCAAUACCGCCGCGCGCGCAACCUCCCUGGAAAGCGCUGGUCGUCAAUACGGCUGGCUAAAGCGCGCGGGGCGCCCUCUUCAUCUCAUAUUGGGGAAAGAGGGACCUGUGGCGGCGCGCACGACUGUUAUAACGCGAAGAUACGAGCGGGUCGAUGCGCGUGUUCGCAUUUGUUGCUCGUAGAUAUAGUUAUGCGAUUGCACUUCGGUGUAACGGAAUGGGGCUCACUCCUGCGCGGGG